rnacentral:rRNA from 1 species
AAUCAACGCUGGCGGCGUGCCUCAGACAUGCAAGUCGAACGAUUAAAGCUCUCUUCGGAGAGUGCAUAGAGUGGCGCACGGGUGAGUAACACGUAAGUAAUCUACCUUCGAGUGGGGAAUAACGUCCGGAAACGGACGCUGAUACCGCAUAAUGCAGCGGCAUCGCAAGAUGACAGUUGUUAAAGAUUUAUCGCUUGAAGAGGAGCUUGCGGCAGAUUAGCUAGUUGGUAAGGUAAUGGCUUACCAAGGCUACGAUCUGUAACCGGUCUUAGAGGACGGUCGGUCACACUGACACUGAAUAACGGGUCAGACUCCUACGGGAGGCAGCAGUCGGGAAUUUUGGGCAAUGGGCGAAAGCCUGACCCAGCAACGCCGCGUGAAGGAUGAAGUAUUUCGGUAUGUAAACUUCGAAAGAAUGGGAAGAAUCAAUGACGGUACCAUUUAUAAGGUCCGGCUAACUACGUGCCAGCAGCCGCGGUAAAAC